rnacentral:tRNA from 1 species
GGGUCAGUAGCUCAGCUGGUUAGAGCACCUGCCUUUUAAGCAGGGUGUCGUGGGUUCAAGCCCCACCUGACCCUCCA